GACGAACGCUGGCGGCGUGCUUAACACAUGCAAGUCGAACGGAAAGGCCCUGCUUUUGUGGGGUGCUCGAGUGGCGAACGGGGGAGUAACACGUGUGUAACCUGCCCUUGACUUUGGGAUAACUUCAGGAAACUGGGGUUAAUACAGGAUAGGAGCUCCUGCAGCACGGGGGGGGUUGGAGAGUUUCGGCGGUUGGGGAUGGACUCGCGGCUUAUCAGCUUGUUGGUGGGGUAGUGGCGUACCAAGGCUUUGACGGGUAGCCGGCCUGAGAGGGUGACCGGCCACAUUGGGACUGAGGUACGGCCCAGAGUCCUACGGGAGGCAGCAGUGGGGAAUAUUGCACACUGGGCGGAAGCCUGAUGCAGCAACGCCGCGUGCGGGAUGACGGCCUUCGGGUUGUAAACCGCUUUCGCCUGUGACGAAGCGUGAGUGACGGUAAUGGGUAAAGAAGCACCGGCUAACUACGUG
rnacentral:rRNA from 1 species